rnacentral:rRNA from 1 species
CGCUGGCGGCGUGCCUAAUACAUGCAAGUCGAGCGGAAAUUUAUUGGUGCUGCACCUUAAAACUUUAGCGGCGGACGGGUGAGUAACACGUGGGUAACCUACCUUAUAGAUUGGGAUAACUCCGGGAAACCGGGGCUAAUACCGAAUAAUACUUUUUAACACAUGUUUGAAAGUUGAAAGACGGUUUCGGCUGUCACUAUAAGAUGGACCCGCGGCGCAUUAGCUAGUUGGUGAGGUAACGGCUCACCAAGGCAACGAUGCGUAGCCGACCUGAGAGGGUGAUCGGCCACACUGGGACUGAGACACGGCCCAGACUCCUACGGGAGGCAGCAGUAGGGAAUCUUCCACAAUGGACGAAAGUCUGAUGGAGCAACGCCGCGUGAGUGAAGAAGGAUUUCGGUUCGUAAAACUCUGUUGCAAGGGAAGAACAAGUAGCGUAGUAACUGGCGCUACCUUGACGGUACCUUGUUAGAAAGCCACGGCUAACUACGUGCCAGCAGCGGC